rnacentral:rRNA from 1 species
UACGUAGGGGGCAAGCGUUGUCCGGAAUCAUUGGGCGUAAAGCGCGUGUAGGCGGUUCCGUAAGUCUGCUGUGAAAGUCGGAGGCUCAACCUUCGAAAGCCGGUGGAUACUGUGGAACUAGAGUGCGGAAGAGGCAAGUGGAAUUCCUGGUGUAGCGGUGAAAUGCGCAGAUAUCAGGAGGAACACCAACGGCGAAGGCAGCUUGCUGGGACGUUACUGACGCUGAGACGCGAAAGCGUGGGGAGCAAACAGG